rnacentral:lncRNA from 1 species
GCAGCCAGGGUUUUUACCAGUCAGGCUCCUGGCUAGAUUCCAGGUACCAACUGGUACCUGAUCUAGCCAAAGCCUGACUGUAAGCUGUAAAAACAAAGGAAGACUGCGCAGCCAGGGUUUUUACCAGUCAGGCUCCUGGCUAGAUUCCAGGUACCAACUGGUACCUGAUCUAGCCAAAGCCUGACUGUAAGCUGUAAAAACAAAGGAAGACUGC